GCAAGUCGAACGAGAAUUUAAUGAAUGAACCUUCGGGUGAUUAUGUUGAAGGACAGUAGCGAACGGGUGAGUAACUCGUGAAUAACCAACCCUCCACAGGGGGACAACAUCCGGAAACGGGUGCAAUACCGCAUAAGACCACAGUACCGCAUGGUACAGGGGUCAAACGCUUUAGUGGUGGAGGACGGAUCCGCGGUCCAUUAGCUAGUAGGUGAGGUAACGGCCCACCUAGGCGACGAUGGAUAGCCGAGCUGAGAGGCUGAUC
rnacentral:rRNA from 1 species